rnacentral:lncRNA from 1 species
UUGGAGAUGCUCUUGGUACUGAACUGUUUGUACCGUAAGUAUAGUACAACCGGCUAAGGGGGGAAAAGAACAGAGCACGCAGUAUAUGGGGAAUGGAAGCAAAAAUUAGGGUUUUUGUAGAGGAUACGGAAUCAAAUCAGUAGAGAGAUUUGAAGAUAAUUAAGCAUUUAUGAUUGAACUGUUGAAUAUGUGUGUGUGGUUGAACGAUGGUGGUGGAGGAUUUAUACGGUGCCGUAACUGGUGGUGGCUAUGUGUGGGUUCGAAAGAGUUGCAGGGGGUUUGGGGUUGUUGAGGCCUAAAUUGAAAGCGGCGGUAGCGCUGGUAUGUAGGUGGUCUGUUGCAGCGAUGGACUGUGUAACUGCGUAUGGAUGAAAGGAGGGAUGUAGGCAAGCUGUUUGAUAAAAUGUCUGUGAGGGAGAGAAGCUAGCGAAGGUGUGGUAUUUGGGCAGUGUUAGCGCGGUUGUCGGAGAUGAGGAUCAUGGCAGCGGCAGCAGCCGCAGGAGGACGGGAGGGAAGCUAGGGAGGUGGAGUAUGCCGAGAGAAGGCAGGUGGUUAUUCCAAAGCAGGUGUGUCAAAUGUUUUCCAGGUUGGCCUUUUAACCAGUCUUUUUAACCAAUUUAAUAAUAUGUUUCUGUAUAUCUGAAGCUCUUUGUACAAUGUAUGUUUCUAUAUUGUCUACAAGGUAGAGGCAGUUAAAAUUUGGAUAACUUUUUCAUGGCAAGGUUUGGUCUAAUUGUAAUCUAGUAGAAGUAUCACACCCUGGUAAUGGCUUGUCUAGUUUUGGCUUUACUGUCCAGGAAAAAACUCUGACGGAUAAGGCAGCUGUGAUAUUUCAUAUUUGGCAAGAGAGAAAUAGGAGAUUAUCUGCAAAUGGAAGCAAGGUUGUCACCCACUGGUCAGGUUGUUCUCAUAUGCUAGUCUUACACUGAGUUUGUUUAUUGAAAUUUUGCAUGCUAUGUAUAUUUGCACCCACCAUCUAUGCCGUGAUCAUCCAUGUAUGUCAAUUAUUAAUUUGCAAUGUGUGUUUCUGCAAUCUAUGUAGUAUUGUAUGUGUGUAUUUAUUUGUGUAUCGAGUCUAUUGCUAUUGUCUGCUUGUACAAUCCGUGCAGUAGCUUGGGUAUGUUUUUGCGUAUUAAGUCUAUUGCAUAAUUUUGGUUAAACAAUUUCUAGAUGUUGGAUAUCCCUAUAAUUUGGAACAGUGGAGGGUUUGAUUCUUGCUUGCUGUUCUCUGCUUUACUCCAUCUAUGCAUAAACUUCCAGGUAAUUUUAGCCUAAUCCUGGCAUAGGCAUCUUAGAAAUAUGCUCAAUGAUUUUAGAUUUUUAGUUAUCCGAAAAUUGUCUUUUUCUCUGUGGGUCUACCGAAUUCCUAAAGAGAACUUGACACAAUGAUUCUAGAUCAUUGUAAUUUAGAUGAGUCAUCACUAAAUAUUUAAAAAGACUCAGGUUUUGUGGUUGUUCACUCCAUGCAGGCUCGAUAGUUUUACCAAAGACAAUGUUUAUGCGGAGGCUACAUGUGCUGAGUUGUUAUAAAUUAGAUAUGAUUUCAAAUUCUUUAUCAAGCAUUUAAGUCUCUCAAAUCUCAAAAAGCUGAGUAUUCCAUGCGGAAUCAAAUUUCGUGAAUUUAAAUCUGAUAGAGGGAAGCAGAUUUAUAUUGAACAGAGUAAGCUGUCCUGCGAUGGAGGUAAUCAUAAAAGGUGAUGGUACAAAUAACAGGAAGGUCUUAAACUUUGCUCAAUUGAAAUCUAUUGCCGUAAAAGAUAUGCAGACACUUACACGAUUUUACAGCCAUGAGAGAAAUAUGGGUUCAAAUUCAACUAACAGCACUGAUAUUUCCUCUGACCAUUUUGGGUUAAGACAAGAAAACACUACAAGAAAAACGGAUAAAAAUGACCGGCUAAAUAUGACCGACUACAAAUAUGACUGCUCGCGGUCAUAUUUAAGGUCAAAUCACGAAAUUUACAAGUCAAAGUUAAAUAUGACCGGAUAAAUUUGACUGCCGUUAAAUAUUACUGAUAGCAGUCAUUUUAAAUGACGGUCAUAUUUCUCCAGUCAUAUUUAUAGUGUGGGACCCACAAAAUUUAAGAGGCAAAUUUCCCUCCAAUAAAAUUUAUGAUGACGUCAUUAAAUUUGACUAGAAUCGGUCAAUAAUAAAGCCGGUCAUAUUUAUUUUUUAAGCGGGAAGAUAAUCUGCGGUACAUAUCAUGGAUUUUUUAUGUAGUUGAAUAGUAGUCUUCAGUUAUACUAGUUUUUUAGUUGAUUUUGAUUGUAUGUAAUUUGUAUUUGCUAACAAAAAGUAGUCUAGAUUUUGUUGGGUUAUUUGUCUUGGCCAAAUUUUAUCAGCUGUAUGACUUGUUUAUUCUUCUUUAAAUUAAUGAUAUUAUUGUUAUUGUUUGUAGUUUUAUUUUGAAUUUGCAGUUAUCUAUUUUUAUUGUAUUUAGGAAUAUUUCAAGAAUAUACGGGUAAAGAAAAAUAACAGUAAAAUAAAUAUUAUGAUUUUAAAAAUAUAUAUCACUUACACAACGUUCCUGUAAGUGCUGUUGAAG